UGGGGAAUAUUGGACAAUGGGCGCAAGCCUGAUCCAGCCAUGCCGCGUGAGUGAUGAAGGCCCUAGGGUUGUAAAGCUCUUUCACCGGUGAAGAUAAUGACGGUAACCGGAGAAGAAGCCCCGGCUAACUUCGUGCCAGCAGCCGCGGUAAUACGAAGGGUGCUAGCGUUGUUCGGAUUUACUGGGCGUAAAGCGCACGUAGGCGGUCUUUAAGUCAGGGGUGAAAACCCGGGGCUCAACCCCGGAACUGCCUUUGAUACUGGAAGUCUUGAGUAUGGUAGAGGUGGGUGGAAUUCCGGGUGUAGAGGUGAAAUUCGUAGAGAUUCGGAGAAACACCAGUGGCGAGGGCGGCUCACUGGACCAAUACUGACGCUGAGGUGCGAAAGCGUGGGGAGCAAACAGG
rnacentral:rRNA from 1 species